rnacentral:lncRNA from 1 species
GGUGGCCUAUUUCAAAUAAUUCCAAUAACUAACGCAUUUCAUCGACUGAACAAUAGCAUCAUUAGAUAUUUCUCUACAUAUCAAGGCGAAACACAAAUAAGGUACAAAGGCGUAAGCCCACUGUCUGACAUUGAUUCCAAUUGGAAUAACCUUUGGGCUGAAAAUUAAUCAUUUUGGGCAUCAGACAGAUUGUAAAGACUCACUUGUUACGCAGGGAGAAAGGCUAUGGAGCAAGUGUAUUAUCAAGUAUGAUAGUAUAGUGGCCAAGCAUUCAUACUAGUUCAAAUAAAUUAUUUUGUUCAAAAAGAAAACUUUUAUCCUUAAUCUCUAAACUUGUGAUUUCUUUAUAGCCCACUGGGUCCGCACAGCAUGGAUACAGCUCUCGUGGUGCAUCGUCGGAUGCAAUGCACUACAGUUUAAGUAAUGGAUGUAGGUCAAGGGACUGGAGGGGAGUGGCACCCUUCGCGACAAGCAGUUUCCAUUCCAAUAAAAAUGGUUGUGGGAAGAUUGGAGCAGAAGAGAUUUCGCUUUUUGAUAUGUUUUUCUCUUUCGCAUUCAGUUUUGUUCUUUUGCUAGUUGUGCAAAUACGAAAACCGCUGAUAGCGUGUGCGCAAAAGUAGCACGACCGCAAUGCGGAUAGACAUCCGCGAUGCAGCGUGAGUAACAUUUCCUGCACAUGCAGACUGCUGUACGAAAACCGACAAACCAAACUGCUUAAUAAAGACAAGAUUGUGCGCACUUUGAUCCCGAAAGAGAGUCCCGCUUGAUCCAGCGUCUUAUCAAGCUGUAAAUUAUUUUGUUUGUACCAAAUGAAUGGACGAGCGAUAAUCUUUCAUUCCACAGCAGACAGAGUCACUAAAGAACAUUCACCCUAUAGCAUUGAGACAAAGGAUUGCGUCACUCAAGGCAGUUGACUUGAUACGUAUACAUUAUUAUUCUGGACAAACAAAAACUUGUGCGGUCAGUGCACCACCACUACUAUUACUAAUACUGUACUGUUAGUCAGACACGAUCAGGUUAUUGUAUUUGUUAGGCUAGGGUAGAUCAAGUGGCCGGAUGAAGCAACACUCAAAAUAAACAACGUCACACGUAUAGAAUCGUAUUGUACACAAGGUCACGUGAAUCUUUUCCUAAACUAGAAUUUUUUAUGUAAUAUAGGACGAGAAAAUUGUAAUGCUGUUGAUUGAAAAAUGAUUACUGUACAGAGCAAAAUUACUCGAUUUUGGACGUGACCCGUUUUAAUUUAUUUACUUUAUUUCGCACGAUCUUGAGACUGACUAAUAACUCACGUGCUAUCAUCGAUCAGACCAAAGUCGAUACCCUUAAUAUGUAACAUAUGAAGGGUGUACUAUUAGCAUGGGCGGUGAAUUUUCACUGGCAAUGGAUGUUUUAUCAAAAUAGGAAGAGGCGAAAUCGCGUUGAAUCUCAUCUAUAUACAUGCGCAUGCGCUUCCACAAUGGUUUAGGCUUGGAUAGAUGUUUGAGACAACAAAGGACUUUUUAUGGAAGAAAUUGUCAAAUUCUUAGUUUGAUAAAUAUAAAUAAUACAUUGUAACUUACCAAAUGUCUUUUGCCGCCGAAUAGAGUACCAAGAAAUUAGUUUUAAAGUGAUGGUUGAAGCAAUGCCGAAUUCCGUGUGCCUGUAGUCAGUCGGGAAAGAGCUUUGUUGUUGACGACUUUGU